GAUAGUCCCGUAUGCGAAAAACAAAGCUUAGCUAGCAGUAUCCUGAGUAGGGCGGGACACGAGGAAUCCUGUCUGAAUCCGGGUCGACCACGAUCCAACCCUAAAUACUAAUACCAGAUCGAUAGUGCACAAGUACCGUGAGGGAAAGGUGAAAAGAACUGAGGUGAUCAGAGUGAAAUAGAACCUGAAACCAUUUGCUUACAAUCAUUCAGAGCCCUAUGUAGCAAUACAGGGUGAUGGACUGCCUUUUGCAUAAUGAGCCUGCGAGUUGUGGUGUCUGGCAAGGUUAAGCAAACGCGAAGCCGUAGCGAAAGCGAGUCUGAAUAGGGCGCUUAGUCAGAUGCUGCAGACCCGAAACGAAGUGAUCUAUCCAUGAGCAAGUUGAAGCUAGUGUAAGAACUAGUGGAGGACUGAACCCAUAGGCGUUGAAAAGCCCCGGGAUGACUUGUGGAUAGGGGUGAAAGGCCAAUCAAACUUCGUGAUAGCUGGUUCUCUCCGAAAUAUAUUUAGGUAUAGCGUUGUGUCGUAAUAUAAGGGGGUAGAGCACUGAAUGGGCUAGGGCAUACACCAAUGUACCAAACCCUAUCAAACUCCGAAUACCUUAUAUGUAAUCACAGCAGUCAGGCGGCGAGUGAUAAAAUCCGUCGUCAAGAGGGAAACAACCCAGACUACCAGCUAAGGUCCCUAAAUCUUACUUAAGUGGAAAACGAUGUGAAGUUACUUAAACAACCAGGAGGUUGGCUUAGAAGCAGCCAUCCUUUAAAGAAAGCGUAAUAGCUCACUGGUCUAGUGAUUUUGCGCGGAAAAUAUAACGGGGCUAAAGUAAGUACCGAAGCUGUAGACUU
rnacentral:rRNA from 1 species